UGAGUGAGAACAUCAACACUUAUCUUUCUUCUAGAAUGAAAAUGCUUCCCCAUUCUUGUUGUCUUUAUUUCGAUCAUGAAGUUUCUCAAGGCAGCGGUACAUCAUGAAUCAACAACCACUCUACAAAUCAUGCUAUCAACAGCCACCUCUCUCAACCGGAUCAAUGAAACAAGCAUUCCCAACUCUCUUUAUUCCUGAUGAAACACAUCAUAACUAUAGCAAAUCAACCAAUGCCAUAUGAAAAUUGCCCUGUCUGGAAGGUAAGACUUGAUAAACUAUUUGCAACAAAUGGUUUUGAAUAUUUUUAGAUUCCACCAUUCCCAUUCCUUCAAGAUUUAGUCAAGAUGAAGUUGACAACUAGGAAGACACUGUUGACUAUACUCUGUGGCAACUUGUGCUUCGGAACCUUGCAGGCGCCAUUCUUUCAACCAUCUUCCCCACUAUUACAGCUUAUGUUCUUCAUUUAAAUCAUACAUCUGGAAUUUGGCUUUUCUUAGAGAAAAGAUUUUAAGCCACAAAUAGAUCAUGUGCAUUCAAUUAAAGAAUGAACUCUACCACAAAUCGAUGGGCAACGACACCGCGAAUCAAUAAAUUAUGAUUAUUAAAACGAUGGUUUAUGACAUAGCAGUCGCAGGAACCAAUUUCGACAUCAAAUUUGAAGACCUCGCCAUCCUAGCUACCAAGGCAUCAAGAUCGCAAUUUGAACGCAAUUACAUCCCAUUGAGCUGUAAGCUUUUUACGAUCUACUCUUCAGUGAGGAAAGCAAUCUUGCUACUGAGGCCACCAAAACAAAUCCAACCAUUGUUCUUUUCACAACCAAGAACAAAGCCACGCAACACAAUCAAAGAACCUCCAACAAGGCCUUGGUUCACAACAGGCAACAGAUCUCUAACAACGCUUCUAAACAUAACUCAUAUGUUUCUUGUAAAAAAUGUUACAAGCAAGGACAUAUUGUUGUUAUCAGUUGGCAUAGGGCAAAUCUGCAACACAAACCUACCAUUCCAUCCUCACAUACAGCUCUUAACACAAAUGUUCAAACUCCUCCACAAGAAUGGAUCCUUGAUGUCGGUGUUAUGUCUCACAACACACCUCACAUUGAAAAAUGUGCAACUUCCCACACCAUACUAAGGCGCAGAUAAAGUGAGAGUUGGAAAUGGGCAAGUUACAAAUACCUUCCAAACCAAUAAAGGUCCUGCUAGUCAAGGACUUUAUUUUACUACAUCAUUACAUCUUACCACAAUUCUCUCCAAUACAUGGCAUGAAAGGCUCGG